GUGAUGAGACUAUGGAAUAGGAAGUGCCGUCUGAUGCGAUAACUGACGACUUUUUUCCAUUCUGA